rnacentral:lncRNA from 1 species
GUCGCUCCACAGCUGGCAGAUGAGCUGGCUGGGAAGAUACAAGGUGGCUGCACUCACUAUUGGGGGCCCUAGCUCGGAUGCCUGCCAGGCUGGGCUCAGCUGGGACUGCCUCCUACACGUGGCCUCUCCAGCAUGGUGACGUCACGGAAGCCUCAGACUCCUCACACAGAUGCUGGAUUCCCCGGAGGGAGUGUUUCCAGGGGUCCCCUGCAGAAUCAGCAAGCAACGCUUCUGACACCUGCCUCGGAAGGGCCAGAGCACCUCUGCUGUUGUGGUCCAUUGGCAAGCCAAUCACUAAGGCUGGCCUGUACUCAAAGGAAGAAUUAGAUCCCACCUCUCCAUGGGCCGCGCAGCAGAUAAUUCGGGGUCUUGGUUAAUCUACCAUGUUCUUUCUCUCCACUGCAGGUGUGUUAAACCGGAGGCCACUGGGUCUCUUGGACAACUAGCAGUGAAUCUGUGAAUCCCCUGAGUGCACAGUUUUAAAUAAAUGUGCAAAAUGUGCAUUUUUUUUUCAGGGAAAUCUGAACUAACAAGAUUUUGAAUCACUCACCAAAUGGCGGUCUUCCUUUUAACUGAGUCUUAUCUCAUCCUACUACAAAAAUUUCCCAAGAAAAUGUGAAGAGUCUUGAUACGGAGCUCAGGCAGUCACGUGAGUGAAGGGGAGCGGCUGUAAACACAGAUGAAGCUUGGCUCACUCGCUCGCCAUUCACCUCCUGCUGUCCAGUCCAGUCCUGAACGACAGCCCUUUAAACAGAAGGACUCUGUUGUCUAGUUUUUUUACUGUUGUGUCCACAGCACCUAGAAUGACUCUUGGCACAUGGCAGGUGGUUCUGAUGCUAGCUCGAGUCUGAGAAGCUCUGGUUUACGAGAGAGGCCACCAAAGGCCUCUCUUCUGUCUUCCUCCAGCAUCUUCAUUGAACAGCCAGCUUCAAGCC